CAGCCGCCACGGUAAUACGUAGGGUGCAAGCGUUAAUCGGAAUUACUGGGCGUAAAGCGUGCGCAGGCGGUUUGUUAAGACAGAUGUGAAAUCCCCGGGCUCAACCUGGGAACUGCAUUUGUGACUGGCAAGCUAGAGUGUGGCAGAGGGGGGUGGAAUUCCGCGUGUAGCAGUGAAAUGCGUAGAUAUGCGGAGGAACACCGAUGGCGAAGGCAGCCCCCUGGGCCAACACUGACGCUCAUGCACGAAAGCGUGGGGAGCAAACAGGAUUAGAUACCCCAGUAGUCCCUGUCUCUUAUAC
rnacentral:rRNA from 1 species